CCAUAUAUGAAGCACCUAUAAUCCCAGUUACUCAAGGAUGAUUAGGAGGGAGUAUCACUUGAGCCUGGGAGUUCUGGGCUGAAUUGUGCUAUGCCAAUCAGCUCUGCACUAAACUUGGCAUCAACAUGAUGACCUCUCGGCAGUAGGACACCACCAGGUUGCCUAAGUAGGGUGAACCAGACAAGGUCAAACUCCCAUACUGAUCAGUAGUGGGAUCGCGCCUGUGAAUAACCCCUGCACUCCAGCCUGGGCAAUACAGCAAGAACCUUUCUCU
rnacentral:SRP_RNA from 1 species